rnacentral:rRNA from 1 species
GUCUAUGGCCAUGCCACCCUGAACAAGCCCGAUCCCAUCUGAUCUCGGAAACUAAGCAGGGUCAGGCCAGGUUAGUACUUGGAUGGGAGACCACCUAGGAAGACCAGGUACUGUAGGCC